rnacentral:rRNA from 1 species
CAGCAGCCGCGGUAAUACGGAGGAUCCAAGCGUUAUCCGGAAUCAUUGGGUUUAAAGGGUCCGUAGGUGGAUAAUUAAGUCAGAGGUGAAAUCCAGCAGCUCAACUGUAGAAUUGCCUUUGAUACUGGUUAUCUUGAGUUAUUAUGAAGUAGUUAGAAUGUGUAGUGUAGCGGUGAAAUGCAUAGAUAUUACAUAGAAUACCAAUUGCGAAGGCAGAUUACUAAUAAUAUACUGACACUGAUGGACGAAAGCGUGGGGAGCGAACAGGAUUAGAUACCCUGGUAGUCCACGCCGUAAACGAUGGUUACUAGCUGUUCGAACUU